GUACUCACUUCAGCAGCACAUAUGCUAAAAUUGGAACAAUACAGAGAAGAUAAGCAUGCUCCUGAACAAGGAUGACACACAAAUUUGUGAAGUGUUCCAUAUUUUU
ensembl:snRNA U6 U6 spliceosomal RNA